CCUACUAUGCAAGUCGAACGGUAGCACAGAGAGCUUGCUCUCGGGUGACGAGUGGCGGACGGGUGAGUAAUGUCUGGGAAACUGCCUGAUGGAGGGGGAUAACUACUGGAAACGGUAGCUAAUACCGCAUAAUGUCGCAAGACCAAAGAGGGGGACCUUCGGGCCUCUUGCCAUCAGAUGUGCCCAGAUGGGAUUAGCUAGUAGGUGGGGUAACGGCUCACCUAGGCGACGAUCCCUAGCUGGUCUGAGAGGAUGACCAGCCACACUGGAACUGAGACACGGUCCAGACUCCUACGGGAGGCAGCAGUGGGGAAUAUUGCACAAUGGGCGCAAGCCUGAUGCACCCAUGCCGCGUGUAUGAAGAAGGCCUUCGGGUUGUAAAGUACUUUCAGCGGGGAGGAAGGUGUUGUGGUUAAUAACCGCAGCAAUUGACGUUACCCGCAGAAGAAGCACCGGCUAACUCCGUGCCAGCAGCCGCGGUAAUACGGAGGGUGCAAGCGUUAAUCGGAAUUACUGGGCGUAAAGCGCACGCAGGCGGUCUGUCAAGUCGGAUGUGAAAUCCCCGGGUUCAACCUGGGAACUGCAUUCGAAACUGGCAGGCUAGAGUCUUGUAAAGGGGGGUA
rnacentral:rRNA from 1 species